rnacentral:piRNA from 1 species
UAAAACACAACAGUAGUACCAGUUUCCAGAU